rnacentral:rRNA from 1 species
GUGUCAGCAGCCGCGGUAAGACAGAGGGUGCAAACGUUGUUCGGAAUUACUGGGCGUAAAGCGCGUGUAGGCGGCUUCGCAAGUCGGGUGUGAAAUCCCACGGCUCAACCGUGGAAGUGCAUUCGAAACUGCGAGGCUAGAGUCCUGGAGAGGAAGGUGGAAUGCUUGGUGUAGAGGUGAAAUUCGUAGAUAUCAAGCGGAACACCGGUGGCGAAGGCGGCCUUCUGGACAGUGACUGACGCUGAGACGCGAAAGCGUGGGGAGCAAACAGGAUUAGAUACCCUGGUGUCC